ensembl:misc_RNA Metazoa_SRP Metazoan signal recognition particle RNA
GCCAGGCAUGGUGGUGCAUGCCUGUAGUCCCAGGUACUUGGGAGGCUGAGGUGGGAGGAUUGCUUGAGCCCAGGAGUUCAAGGCUGCAGUGAGCUAUGAUUGUGCUAUGUACUCUAGCCUGGGCUACAGAGUAAGACCCCGUCUCAA